rnacentral:rRNA from 1 species
GACGAACGCUGGCGGCGUGCUUAACACAUGCAAGUCGAACGGAAAGGCCCUGCUUUUGUGGGGUGCUCGAGUGGCGAACGGGUGAGUAACACGUGAGUAACCUGCCCUUGACUUUGGGAUAACUUCAGGAAACUGGGGCUAAUACCGGAUAGGAGCUCCUGCUGCAUGGUGGGGGUUGGAAAGUUUCGGCGGUUGGGGAUGGUCGCGCGGGUUAUCAGCUUGUUGGUGGGGUAGUGGCUUACCAAGGCUUUGACGGGUAGCCGGCCUGAGAGGGUGACCGGCCACAUUGGGACUGAGAUACGGCCCAGACUCCUACGGGAGGCAGCAGUGGGGAGUAUUGCACAAUGGGCGGAAGCCAGAUGCAGCAACGCCGCGUGCGGGAUGACGGCCUUCGGGUUGUAAACCGCUUUCGCCUGUGACGAAGCGUGAGUGACGGUAAUGGGUAAAGAAGCACCGGCUAACUACGUG